UGGGGAAUAUUGCACAAUGGGCGCAAGCCUGAUGCAGCCAUGCCGCGUGUGUGAAGAAGGCCUUCGGGUUGUAAAGCACUUUCAGCGGGGAGGAAGGCGGUGAGGUUAAUAACCUCAUCGAUUGACGUCACCCGCAGAAGAAUCACCGGCUAUCUCCGUGCCAGCAGCCGCGGUAAUACGGAGGGUGCAAGCGCUAAUCGGAAUUACUGGGCGUAAAGCGCACGCAGGCGGUCUGUCAAGUCGGAUGUGAAAUCCCCGGGCUCAACCUGGGAACUGCAUUCGAAACUGGCAGGCUAGAGUCUUGUAGAGGGGGGUAGAAUUCCAGGUGUAGCGGUGAAAUACGUAGAGAUCUGGAGGAAUACCGGUGGCGAAGGCGGCCCCCUGGACAAAGACUGACGCUCAGGUGCGAAAGCGUGGGGAGCAAACAGG
rnacentral:rRNA from 1 species